rnacentral:rRNA from 1 species
AGAGUUUGAUCCUGGCUCAGAGCGAACGCUGGCGGCGUGCUUAACACAUGCAAGUCGAACGCGCAGCAUCUGUAGCAAUACAGGUUGUGGGCGCGUGGCGAACGGGUGCGUAACACGUGGAUACCUUCCUUCAGGUGGGGAAUAACCCAGUGAAAAUUGGGCUAAUCCGCAUAACAAAACGAGAAGACAUCUUUUUGUUUUCAAAGGCGCAAGCCGCCAGAAGAGGGAUCCGCGGCCGAUUAGCUUGUUGGCGGGGUAAUGGCCCACCAAGGCAAUGAUCGGUAGCCGGACUGAGAGGUUGCCGGCCACACUGGAACUGAGACACGGUCCAGACUCCUACGGGAGGCAGCAGUGGGGAAUCUUGCACAAUGGGCGAAAGCCUGAUGCAGCAACGCCGCGUGGGGGAUGAAGCUUCUCGGAGUGUAAACCCCUUUCGACCCGGAAGAAAGCCCGCAAGGGUUUGACGGUACGGGUAUAAGAAGCCCCGGCUAACUACGUGCCAGCAGCCGCGGUAAAACGUAGGGGGCCACGUUGCUCGGAAUUACUGGGCGUAAAGGGUCCGUAGGCGGUGUGGCAAGUCGGUAGUGAAAUCUCUAGGCUUAACCUAGAGGCUGCUGCCGAAACUGCCGUGCUAGAGUGUGAGAGAGGCGAGUGGAAUUACGGGUGUAGCGGUGAAAUGCGUAGAUAUCCGUAGGAACAUCCGUGGCGAAACGGCUCGCUGGAUCACAACUGACGCUGAGGGACGAAAGCUAGGGGAGCAAACAGGAUUAGAUACCCUAGUAGUCC